CACCGACAAAUCAAAAGCUAACAAAAACCCCAAAUUCACAACAACAACAGUCAUUAGCUUCCAACCAAUCUUAUUUCACAACCCAGAACCUGAAGAACGAAGCAAUAACAACUGAACUCGAACAAAGUUGCGUAAUUUAAACAGAAACCCUAAUUUCACUACAAGAACAGCUUCCUCCAAAUUCUCCCGAAAAAGCCCUAAACUGGAAAAUUAAAC
rnacentral:misc_RNA from 1 species